GACGAACGCUGGCGGCGUGCCUAAUACAUGCAAGUAGAACGCACAGUUUAUACCGUAGCUUGCUACACCAUAGACUGUGAGUUGCGAACGGGUGAGUAACGCGUAGGUAACCUGCCUGGUAGCGGGGGAUAACUAUUGGAAACGAUAGCUAAUACCGCAUAAUAUUAAUUAUUGCAUGAUAAUUAAUUGAAAGGUGCAAUUGCACCACUACCAGAUGGACCUGCGUUGUAUUAGCUAGUAGGUGAGGUAACGGCUCACGUAGGCGACGAUACAUAGCCGACCUGAGAUGGUGAUCGGCCACACUGGGACUGAGACACGGCCCAGACUCCUACGGGAGGCAGCAGUAGGGAAUCUUCGGCAAUGGACGAAAGUCUGACCGAGCAACGCCGCGUGAGUGAAGAAGGUUUUCGGAUCGUAAAGCUCUGUUGUAAGAGAAGAACGGGUGUGAGAGUGGAAAGUUCACACUGUGACGGUAUCUUACCAGAAAGGGACGGCUAACUACGUG
rnacentral:rRNA from 1 species